AAGGAAAGGUAUCAUCUCAUAGUAAAUGAAUGCACCUAACCAUGCCAUUCAAAAGUCACCACCUUCACCUACAAUGCUUGUAUAGUUGCAGCAAACAAUGUCUUAUGUGUGACACAUAUAUAGAAAUUAAGCCAAGUAAAGAACCUGCCUGCUAAACUUAUAGACCAACAAUUUCAUAAGAGCUGGAAAUUUACUGGAAAGGAGGUUUUCAAAAAAAGCAAGUUUUGGCAUAGUAUUCCCACAUGGAACUAACUAAAUCUGCCAAACAACCUUCAUUCAAGAAUCUUCUAACUUAAGAGUCCAUCAAUAAAACUACGCCACCUAAUUUCUUAAAAUUUUAUCACAUUUUAUUCUUUGUGUUAAAUUUGGAGAGA
rnacentral:misc_RNA from 1 species